rnacentral:lncRNA from 1 species
CGGCUAUGAGCUCCAAAGUUGAGAAACAUAUUUGCUGAACCCUUUUCCUUAAAUUACAUUUAUAGAAAUAGGAAAAAUGGAAUAUCUCCAUUAGGCAGCAUUUAAAAGCACUGAAGAAGUGUAGGGAUGUGAAAACACUUCUAAAAAAGCAAGUUUGGGCCGGGCGCGGUGGCUCAAGCCUGUAAUCCCAGCACUUUGGGAGGCCGAGAUGGGCGGAUCACGAGGUCAGGAGAUCGAGACCAUCCUGGCUAACAGGGUGAAACCCCGUCUCUACUAAAAACACAAAAAAUGAGCUGGGCGUGGUGGCGGGCGCCUGUAGUCCCAGCUACUCGGGAGGCUGAGGCAGGAGAAUGGCGUGAACCCGGGAGGCGGAGCUUGCAGGAGAAUGGCGUGAACCCGGGAGGCGGAGCUUGCAGUGAGCCGAGAUCUGGCCACUGCACUCCAGCCUGGGUGACAGGGUGAAACUGCGACACUCCGCCUCACAAAAAAAAAAAAAAAAAAAAAAAAGAAAGUCAGAGAGUUUUGAUGGCUAUGGGUGAGAUUCUCUGGUGGGAAGGCCCUGAACAUAGCUGACAAGUGAGACAAAUGCUGGUAGCCCUGGAGGGCUACAAAUGGGUCUUGACAGGAAUAGACACUGGCUAUGGAGUGGAUGUUGCUUGCCCAGAAGAUGAAAAUUCUCCGAGUGCAAUAAAAAACCAGAACAGAAGAUAUUACAUGGAUAUAGAUGGCUAACCAUAAUUUUUUCAGACCAAGGAACACAGUGUACAGUCCAUAACAAUAGUCCAACAAUGGACAAAGAAAUAUCCUCCUAGAGUAAUAGUUUGAUAGAGAAGUAGAGCAGGCAAUUGAAACAUUGAUUGUGUAAUAAAAGCACAAAGGGCUGGCUCACAUGCCUUCCUGUCUGUUC